UUUUAAUAGAAUCGAUUAUGCUUAAUUCGAAUCUUCGACCAGUUCCGAAGCACGCACACACACAACACGACUCGUCGCCGUAGACGAAGGAGGAUCGACUCGGUUGCUCCAUGGACGAACCUCGCAAGCAUCAGGUGUCGUUGAGGGGAGCCAGUGCGAAAGAGAUAACGAGAGAUGCUCUUCUUCAAAAGGUGUCUCAAGAAAGAGAGCUUCGCCAUUAUGCGAAACGAGCUACAGCAGCUGCCAUAUUCGUCCAGAGAGUCUGGAGACGUUACAUUGUUACUUUAAAAGUGGCUUUGCAGCUUCAAGAAGAAUGGGAGAAGAACUAUGUGGACUAUCAUGUUGGUUCGUUGACAUGCAUACAGAUUUCCUGCGGUGUUUUAAGGCCUUUUCUCUUCUUUAUUACUUAUUUAUCAACUCCGCACAAGGGGAUUCAAACCAGGGAGAUAAACUGUAUGCAUAGAUGCUUUAAAAUUCUCUUGGAAAGCGUGAACUCCUCUGAUCCAAAACAGAACUUUUGCUCCCUGGCAACUGGCACACCAGAAGAGAGGAGGAUCUGGAAUUCUGAGUCAAGAAAGCUGAUUUCUCUUUGCCUAUUCAUUCUCUCCGAGUUUGAUAAAUUCUGUGUACGGGAUCAAGAAAUUGUUGCAGUCGCUUCCUUAGCAAUGCGUCUUGUCAUUCAUUUAACUGAUUUGAAAGGGUGGAAGAACAUUACCAACGACAACUUUCAGGAUGCAGAUAGAGCUGUUAAAGAUCUAGGUCAAUUCAUGGGAGCUGGUGAAAGUGGUCUAUACAUAUCUGUUAGAAGAUACAUCACCACAUUAGAUACUCCUUUUUCUUCUCAAAUAGAGAAUGGAGUACAAAAAGAUGAUAAGUUCCUUAUUACAGCCAGUGCAAUAACUCUAGCUCUUCGGCCAUUGCAUGUGACAAACUCUAAAGUAGACGGCUCUGGCCUGUCAGCUGUGGAUUCUUCUGCUGAGAAGUACUGUGUUUUUUUACUUACAAUUCCUUGGCUGGUGCAGCGAUUGCCGGCUGUUCUUGUAGGUGCUAUGAAGCACAUAUCUGUUCUAUCACCUUGCUUACGGAUUCUACUGAUUUUGAAGGAGAACAUACUAAAUCAGAUUUCUGUAAUAAAUCAGUCAAAAGUUCCAUUUUGUCCGAAGGUGAUUCCACCAGUAGGUUGGGCACUUGCAAGUAUCAUAUGCCUUACAACAGCCGGCGAGAAUGGUUCUCUUGAUUCUGGAUGGCACAACCAAGGUUUGGACUAUGUGUUGUAUGUUCGUGCUGUUAUCAUUCUUGCUGAAGAUAUGUUGGCUAGGCUUGAGAAUGUUAGAAGUAUAAAAAAUGUGAACCAAGAAAUCCCAAGUAAUAGUGAAGAUUCUGUUAUGCCCACUGAUGCAAAUUUUGGCAAGAGUGAGGCAAGACAUGGUUCCUUGAUUGUGUCAUACAUGGAUCUCUUUAAGCCUGUCUGUCAACAGCAGCAUCUCAUGGAUCUUUUGGCAGUAGUUGGUAAAGAUGGUUGUGCUCAAGGGUUGGAGACUUCUUCGCACAACGAUUUGCUCUUUCAGAAGUUGGGAUUUCUUGAUGUUGCAUAUUUUUAUUCUUACCUUCUUAGAAUUUUUUCAUUCUUGAACCCAGCAGUUGGACAGUUGUAUAUUCUUAAUAUGCUAUCCUUCACUCCUGGUUUUCUUGCGGGCCUAUGGGGAGCCCUGGAAAGUUCCCUUUUUCCUGUAGAUGGUCCAAUAGCUGAAAAUCAUGAUCUUUCAUCCAGUAAAACUUCAAGGAAUAAAAAGGAUGGACUUUUUGAGAGAAGGCAAAAACAUGGUAGUAAGGAUGAAACUAAUAAAUGGGUAACUGUACUACAUAAGUUUACUGGAAAGUCACAGUUGGGAGCUGAUAGUACAAAUUUGGUUGAUGAUUCAUCAAGCCAUAGCCACAGUGACGAGGGUCCUCAUGACGAAUGGGAUGUAGAACCUUUGAAGCAUGGCCCAGAAGGUAUAUCAGAAGAUAUCUCAUGUCUGCUUCAUCUUUUCUGCGCUACCUAUUCACAUCUGCUAUUGAUAUUGGAUGAUAUAGAGUUCUACGAGAAACAGGUUCCAUUCAGGAUAGAACAGCAACGGAGAAUUGCCUCCAUGCUUAAUACUUUCGUUUAUAAUGGAUUGACCCAUAGUAUGGGGCAGCAGACUAGAUCCCUUAUGAAUUCCGCAAUCAAAUGCUUGCAUUCAAUGUAUGAAAGAGAUUGCAGACACCAAUUCUGUCCCCCCGUUCUGUGGCUUUCACCCGCUUUCAAGAGUCGGCCACCAAUUGCUGUAGCUGCCAGAACUCAUGAGGUUUUGUCAGCUAAUGUGAGAAUAGAUGAUGCUUCAACUUUGCCAAGUACGCGGUCUAUUAUAACUACUGUUCCACAUGUGUAUCCAUUUGAAGAACGAGUUGAGAUGUUUAGAGAGUUCAUUGAGAUGGACAAAGCCUCACGAAAAAUGGCUGGUGAAGUUGAUGGGCCUGCUUCACGAUCAGUUGGAAUAGUAGUUCGUCGUGGUCAUAUUGUUGAAGAUGGUUUUAGACAAUUAAAUUCCCUUGGGCCAAGAUUAAAAUCAUCCAUCCAUGUUUCAUUUGUUAGUGAAUCUGGCCUUCCAGAGGCUGGCCUGGAUUAUGGUGGAUUAUCUAAAGAGUUCUUAACUGAUAUAUCAAAAGCAGCCUUUGCCCCUGAGUAUGGGCUGUUCUCCCAAACUUCAACCUCAGACAGACUUUUAAUCCCUAAUGCAUCUGCAAAAUAUCUCGAGAAUGGUGUCCAGAUGAUUGAAUUCCUUGGAAGAGUUGUUGGCAAAGCUCUAUAUGAAGGAAUUUUGCUAGAUUACUCCUUUUCUCUUGUAUUUGUACAAAAACUGCUGGGCCGAUAUAGCUUCCUUGAUGAGCUAUCAACUCUUGAUCCAGAGCUGUACAGGAAUCUUAUGUAUGUCAAGCACUAUGACAACGAUGUCAAGGAUCUUUUUCUGGAUUUCACAGUGAUUGAAGAAUCUUUUGGUAAGCAACAUGUUAUUGAGCUUAAACCUGGUGGCAAGGAUAUUUCUGUGACAAACGAGAACAAAAUGCAAUACAUUCAUGCUAUGGCCGAUUAUAAACUAAACCGACAGAUACUGCCCUUUUCCAAUGCUUUCUACAGAGGGUUAACAGAUCUCAUAUCGCCAUUUUGGCUGAAAUUAUUCAAUGCACGCGAAUUCAAUCAGUUGCUUUCAGGUGGAGACUAUGACAUUGACAUUGAUGAUUUAAGAAGAAACACACGUUACACUGGUUGUUACUCUGAGGGAAGUCGAACUAUUAAAAUCUUCUGGGAGGUACUUAAAGGUUUUGAACCAAAUGAUCGUUGUAUGCUUCUUAAAUUUGUGACCAGUUGUUCUCGACCUCCAUUACUUGGAUUCAAGCACCUGCAGCCUACCUUUACUAUCCAUAAGGUUGUCUGCAAUGUCCCUAUUUGGGCUACAAUUGGUGGACAGGAUGUGGAUCGGCUCCCUUCAGCCUCAACAUGUUACAAUACUCUCAAGCUUCCAACAUACAAACGUGCUAGCACUUUGAGAGAGAAACUUCUAUAUGCAAUUAAUUCAAAUGCAGGAUUCGAACUUUCUUAGGACACUGAAGCUACGGAAAUCUAUUUAACCGAAGUCGAUAACAUAUAAGGUACCAAGGCAAGUACACACAUCACCAACAGGCUUAGGUAACAAGGCUUACGUACAUUACACCCUAGCUUUAAGAGAUGAGAUCAAAGCCUUGUUGAAGUAGAUCACCAGCCAAGAUCUCAUUUGCAGUUUCAGAGGGAUGAAAUCCAUCCCAAAAUACAUAUCCGGUAGCGUUAGAACAUGUCCCUACAGACCUGGAGUU